CCCCGCCCCUCGUCCACCGCUGCCCGCGCGCCACCCGAGUCGCUGUUCCGGAUCCCGCAGUGUUGCGGCUGCGGGAGCCGCCGGCUCGCCGCCCCCGCGCCUGCACCUGUGCCCGCAGGUGUCGUGCGCCCCGCGUAGUGACAGUCCUCCGGCUGAGGAAGCCUGCCCGGGAGCACCCCUGUUGCCCACAACGGCGCUCCCUGGCCUCGUUGCCCUUCUCUCUGAGCACCUACUUCCCAGGUGGCCGGGCGCGCGGGCCCUCAGCCCCAUGAGAGCCCUCGGGAGACAAAGGGAGUCGAGCUGGAGUACGCUCGCUCUCCGAGGACGGGGCGCUCGACGCUAGGGCCAGCCUCAGGGUCGCGGUGUCUAUCACAGGAGAUGAGUGAAUGCAUCACAGUGCCCACCACCCUGUCCGAGGGCAAGCAGGCCCUGCAAAUGAGGGAAGGGCACCUGGCAUUGCCUCCACCCCGGGCCUUAGACAUCCCCAGGAAUUUCUCUUUGGAUAAGGAGGAUUCUUCUCCAUUAUAGGAAAGACAGCAAGGUGAAAUGGUGAUAAAUGGCUUUGACCUACAUCCUCUGUGAAAGUCUCAGAAACUCAGGAGCCUGGGGAACGGUGCCCAGCUGAAGCCCCAGCUCAUGGUUUCAGUGGGGAAACACAGGCCCAGCAAAGGCAGGCACGGAAGGAUGUUCUGGCCUCAGAUCAGGGCCCGGCUCCUCCAGGAGCGAGCAGCCUGGUCCUGUCCCAGGUGGAGGACAGAGCUGGAGAGAGGACCCCACUGUCAAAAUCCAAAACAAACAGAGACCAACCUUGCAAACUCCCUGAACAGACACCACCAGUUUGGUCAUACCAACGAAGCUGAAGGUAGCGGAUUUUGCAAGGCUAAGUUGACCCAAGUCAUUUCUUGCUGUGCCUCUGAAAAUCAGGAGCAAAGCUUACUCUCUUUUCCGAGGUUGAUGUGGAAGGGCCACUAGCCAAUUCCAUCGCUUAGGAAAAUUCUGAUAUGAAAACCAAUCCCUGUGGAGAAUGAACACUGUGCUUUCUCACCAUAGAAGCUGCUCUUUAAGGACACCCCCCUGAGCCCCAUUCCGUGUUUUGGUUUGAGUGUUCCCGGCUUUUCCAACUGUCUUUUUGGUGUAUACACAACAAACUCAAUCAUGACGGCUUUGGCCAUUCGUUGGUUUUAUUUACUUCUGUUACAUAGGGACUUUUGACGUUUCAUGGUGUCAGAAGUGGGAUUCAAACAGAAGACAGCCCCCCACCCCCACCCCACACACAGACCCCGAGGCUGCUGAGCAAACAGACCCUGGCACCCACAGAGCCCACUGAGCUCACCACUUUCUUGUCGACCCUGAAGAGUGAAGAUGUAAAGGAUCCUUUUUCUCCUCUGUCUGAAGUUAUCUAUGACUCACAACAGUUUGGUAAAGUGUAUCUUUGCAACAAAGGUUGAAACAUUUUUCUUCCCCCUCCCCCCACUCCUCCAGAAAUUAGAAACUCUUACUAUUCUCUUUUUAAAUUGUUUUAUUUUUUAAUUAAAUACUCUUAUUUUUCAUGACAA